UAAUCGGAUUACUGGGCGUAAAGCGCGCGUAGGUGGUUUGUUAAGUUGGAUGUGAAAGCCCCGGGCUCAACCUGGGAACUGCAUCCAAAACUGGCAAGCUAGAGUACGGUAGAGGGUGGUGGAAUUUCCUGUGUAGCGGUGAAAUGCGUAGAUAUAGGAAGGAACACCAGUGGCGAAGGCGACCACCUGGACUGAUACUGACACUGAGGUGCGAAAGCGUGGGGAGCAAACAGG
rnacentral:rRNA from 1 species